UACGUAGGGGGCUAGCGUUGUCCGGAAUCAUUGGGCGUAAAGAGCGCGUAGGCGGCCAGAUAAGUCCGGUGUGAAAGUCACAGGCUCAACCUGUGAAUGCCGCUGGAAACUGUCUGGCUAGAGUCCGGAAGGGGCGAGUGGAAUUCCUGGUGUAGCGGUGGAAUGCGCAGAUAUCAGGAGGAACACCGAUGGCGAAGGCAGGUCUCUGGGCCACUACUGACGCUGAGAAGCGAAAGCAUGGGGAGCGAACAGG
rnacentral:rRNA from 1 species